UGAGAAGCUAUAUGGCAAGCUUUGGAAGUCUCUCUUCUGCUGUGGAUGGAAUUGGUGGCAAGGUUGGCCUUUUAUAGUGAGGAUAGUAAUUAAUCACAUUAAUCAGGUGUCGAAGGUCAUCUGGUUCUCUAUGGCAAGCUUUGGAAGUCUCUCUUCUGCUGUGGAUGGAAUUGGUGGCAAGGUUGGCCUUUUAUAGUGAGGAUAGUAAUUAAUCACAUUAAUCAGGUGUCGAAGGUCAUCUGGGUCCCAGUUUGUCAUGG
rnacentral:lncRNA from 1 species